AGCAAAACCAUAUUGAUACGGGAAACCUGCGAAGCAUCUAGAAGGAUAAAAUAUGCUCUUCUUCCCUUUACCCACUCUAUUCGUCCACGGCGUACAAGUUUCUCCAAAUAACUGAGCUUCUAUACAUCGGGAAACCCCAACCCCUUGGCAGAACGGGCGAUAUGGCGAAAUUGGGAGAG
rnacentral:ribozyme from 1 species